rnacentral:tRNA from 1 species
GGUAGAAUGGCUGAGUGAGGCAUUAAGCAUUAGACUGUAAAUCUAAAGACAGAGGUUUAUAUUCCUCUUUUUACCA